rnacentral:rRNA from 1 species
GGGGGAUAUUGGACAAUGGGGGAAACCCUGAUCCAGCGAUGCCGCGUGAGGGAAGAAGGUUUUCGGAUUGUAAACCUCUGUGGACAGGGACGAUAAUGACGGUACCUGUUUAGAAAGCCACGGCUAACUACGUGCCAGCAGCCGCGGUAAUACGUAGGUGGCGAGCGUUGUCCGGAAUUACUGGGUGUAAAGGGAGUGUAGGCGGGAAGGCAAGUCAGAAGUGAAAAUUAUGGGCUUAACCCAUAACCUGCUUUUGAAACUGUUUUUCUUGAGUGAGGCAGAGGCAAGCGGAAUUCCUAGUGUAGCGGUGAAAUGCGUAGAUAUUAGGAGGAACACCAGUGGCGAAGGCGGCUUGCUGGGCCUUUACUGACGCUGAGGCUCGAAAGCGUGGGGAGCAAACAGGAUUAGAUACCCUGGUAGUCCACGCCGUAAACGAUGAUCACUAGGUGUGGGGAGUUGAACCUUUCCGUGCCGGAGUUAACACAAUAAGUGAUCCACCUGGGGAGUACGACCGCAAGGUUGAAACUCAAAGGAAUUGACGGGGGCCCGCACAAGCAGUGGAGUAUGUGGUUUAAUUCGAAGCAACGCGAAGAACCUUACCAGGUCUUGACAUCGAGUGACGAUCCCAGAGAUGGGAUUUCCCUUCGGGGCACGAAGACAGGUGGUGCAUGGUUGUCGUCAGCUCGUGUCGUGAGAUGUUGGGUUAAGUCCCGCAACGAGCGCAACCCUUACUAUUAGUUGCUACGCAAGAGCACUCUAAUAGGACUGCCGUUGAUAAAACGGAGGAAGGUGGGGAUGACGUCAAAUCAUCAUGCCCUUUAUGACCUGGGCUACACACGUACUACAAUGGCGUUUAACAAAGAGAAGCGAAACCGCGAGGUUGAGCAAAUCCCCAAAAAACGUCUCAGUUCAGAUUGCAGGCUGCAACUCGCCUGCAUGAAGUCGGAAUUGCUAGUAAUCGUAGGUCAGCAUACUACGGUGAAUACGUUCCCG